UUUGGUUCUUUUGCCUUCUCUUUGAUCUUAUCUCUUACGAUUGUGCAGAUCUCAAUC
rnacentral:sRNA from 1 species